rnacentral:rRNA from 1 species
UACGAAGGGGGCUAGCGUUGCUCGGAAUUACUGGGCGUAAAGCGCACGUAGGCGGCUUUCUAAGUCGGGGGUGAAAUCCUGGAGCUCAACUCCAGAACUGCCUUCGAUACUGGAGAGCUUGAGUCCGGGAGAGGUGAGUGGAACUGCGAGUGUAGAGGUGAAAUUCGUAGAAUAUUCGCAAGAACACCAGUGGCGAAAGGC